rnacentral:rRNA from 1 species
CACGUAGGGCGCAAGCGUUGUCCGGAAUUAUUGGGCGUAAAGAGCUCGUAGGCGGUGUGUCGCGUCGGCCGUGAAAACCUGCAGCUUAACUGUGGGCUUGCGGUCGAUACGGGCAGACUAGAGUUCGGUAGGGGAGACUGGAAUUCCUGGUGUAGCGGUGAAAUGCGCAGAUAUCAGGAGGAACACCAGUGGCGAAAGCGGCUCUCUGGGGGCAACCUGACGCUGAGGCGCGAAAGCGUGGGGAGCGAACCGG